rnacentral:tRNA from 1 species
GUUCCUGUAGCGCAAUGGUUAGCGCGUUGGACUUCUAAUCCAAAGGUCGUGGGUUCGAAUUCCUCCUGAGAUG